rnacentral:lncRNA from 1 species
CUUCCUCAAUUAAAAACACUCUGGGAAUACAACAUAUAAGUGCCCGCUGUGUUCCUGAGUGUCAAAAUCUUGAAUAAAAUUGAAAAAAAUCAACAUGACUUCUUCAACACACAGAGCCAGAGAGGAAAGCCCCCAAGAACCAAGACACCACCUGCAUUUACAUCUUCCAAAUGAAAAGUGAAAAAGGAACAAAUGUGGUCUCAUUACUUUCCAUCAAGGGCAAGAUUCUUACCACAACAAUGCCUAUUGCACCAGAUUAUCAAACACAGAAUCACAUUGUAACUUCUGGAAAAUGCAGAAUAUAUAUGCAGCAUGGAGCUAAAAGUCCUCCACAUAGGUAAACCUCACCUUGAAUGACCCCGUUGUUACAGACAAAAAACAAAAACAAAAACAACAACAACAACAACAAAAACGUGUAUCAUGAAAGGAGGGAAACUGAAUAAUAGGGACAAGAGAAACUUUCUGUAUUAAAGUUUCCUAAACCAAAAUCAUCCUUUUAAUUUGUUUUAGUUUACCGUUCUUGAACUUCUUAAUUCUCAUCUUUUUAAAUGUAAGUUGCAUUUACAUCCGUGUUAAAGUUUAGCCUUCGGAUAUAAGAAGUCAGUUUCUGGCAGGAUUGUAUUAAUACCUAUUUUAUGAUACUGGGUUCAAACACUUCCAUUACUCUAAAAGGAAAAGAGGAAGAUUAUAUAAUAGGCCC